rnacentral:tRNA from 1 species
AUAAUAGCUCAGUUGGUAGAGCACUAGCUUCCCAAGUUGGGGGUCGCGGGUUCGAGCCCCGUUUAU